rnacentral:misc_RNA from 1 species
UAUGAAGAACGCAGCAAAAUGCGAUAAGUAAUGUGAAUUGCAGAAUUCAGUGAAUCAUCGAAUCUUUGAACGCACAUUGCGCCCGCUGGUAUUCCGGCGGGCAUGCCUGUUCGAGCGUCAUUUCAACCCUCAAGCCCCCGGGUUUGGUGUUGGGGAUCGGCUCUGCCCUUCUGGGCGGUGCCGCCCCCGAAAUACAUUGGCGGUCUCGCUGCAGCCUCCAUUGCGUAGUAGCUAACACCUCGCAACUGGAACGCGGCGCGGCCAUGCCGUAAAACCCCAACUUCUGAAUGUUGACCUCGGAUCAGGUAGGAAUACCCGCUGAACUUAAGCAUAUCAAUAAGCGGAGGA